rnacentral:rRNA from 1 species
AACGAACGCUGGCGGCAUGCCUAACACAUGCAAGUCGAACGAGACCUUCGGGUCUAGUGGCGCACGGGUGCGUAACGCGUGGGAACCUGCCCUUAGGUUCGGAAUAACUCCCCGAAAGGGGUGCUAAUACCGGAUAAUUUCUUCGGACCAAAGAUUUAUCGCCUUUGGAUGGGCCCGCGUUGGAUUAGCUAGUUGGUAGGGUAAAAGCCUACCAAGGCGACGAUCCAUAGCUGGUCUGAGAGGAUGAUCAGCCACACUGGGACUGAGACACGGCCCAGACUCCUACGGGAGGAAGCAGGGGGGAAUAUGGGACAAGGGGCGAAAGCCGGAUCCAGAAAUGCCGGGUGAGUGAUGAGGCCUUAGGGUUGUAAAGCUCUUUUACCCGGGAUGAUAAUGACAGUACCGGGAGAAUAAGCUCCGGCUAACUCCGUG